rnacentral:rRNA from 1 species
UACGUAGGUGGCAAGCGUUGUCCGGAAUUAUUGGGCGUAAAGCGCGCGCAGGCGGUCCUUUAAGUCUGAUGUGAAAGCCCACGGCUCAACCGUGGAGGGUCAUUGGAAACUGGGGGACUUGAGUGCAGAAGAGGAAAGCGGAAUUCCACGUGUAGCGGUGAAAUGCGUAGAUAUCCGGAGGAAUACCAAAGGCGAAGGCAGUGUCCUGGGGAGUGUCUGACGCUCAGGCGCGAAAGCUAGGGGAGCGAACAGG